rnacentral:rRNA from 1 species
AUUGAACGCUGGCGGCAGGCCUAACACAUGCAAGUCGAACGAGUGGCGGACGGGUGAGUAAUGUCUGGGGAACUGCCUGAUGGAGGGGGAUAACUACUGGAAACGGUAGCUAAUACCGCAUACCAUCUGAUGUUCCCAUAUGGGAUUAGCUAGUUGGUGGGGUAACGGCUCACCAAGGCGACGAUCCCUAGCUGGUCUGAGAGGAUGACCAGCCACACUGGAACUGAGACACGGGCCAGACUCCUACGGGAGGCAGCAGUGGGGAAUAUUGCACAAUGGGCGCAAGCCUGAUGCAGCCAUGCCGCGUGUAUGAAGAAGGCCUUAGGGUUGUAAAGUACUUUCAGCGGGGAGGCGUUACCCGCAGAAGAAGAACCGGCUAACUCCGUGCCAGCCGCCGCGGUAAUAC